rnacentral:tRNA from 1 species
GCGCGCUCGGCGGCGGCCACCUGGUUGCGCAUCAGGGCCAGCAGCGGCGACACGAUGACGGUCGGUCCGUGCCCGGCGGCGCGCA